rfam:Medicago truncatula strain A17 chromosome 7, whole genome shotgun sequence.
GGCCAAUGAUGUAUUACUUGCACGUAUUACCAGAUCUGCUGUGUGAUUGAUAAAUGCUAAUUGUCACUACCUCUGAGGCC